rnacentral:lncRNA from 1 species
AUGAUGUGCAUCAAGCUUUCCUGCAUACUUUUACCUUAUUAUGCUCUGUUUUUCCUCACUACCGCCCCCCGAACGUGGUGGCGCACGCCUGUUAUCUCAGCACUCCAGAGGCUGAGGCAGGAGGAUCUUUGCAAGUUCGAGGCCAGCCUGGGUUAUAAAGUAAGCGCAAGGCCAGCCUGAGCUGCAUAGAGAGAACCUGCCUCAAAAAGACUAAAUAAAUAAAUAAAAUAAUAA